rnacentral:rRNA from 1 species
AACGAACGCUGGCGGCAGGCUUAACACAUGCAAGUCGAACGCCCCGCAAGGGGAGUGGCAGACGGGUGAGUAACGCGUGGGAAUCUACCUAGUUCUACGGAACAACACAGGGAAACUUGUGCUAAUACCGUAUACGCCCUACGGGGGAAAGAUUUAUCGGAAUUAGAUGAGCCCGCGUUGGAUUAGCUAGUUGGUGGGGUAAUGGCCUACCAAGGCGACGAUCCAUAGCUGGUCUGAGAGGAUGAUCAGCCACACUGGGACUGAGACACGGCCCAGACUCCUACGGGAGGCAGCAGUGGGGAAUAUUGGACAAUGGGCGCAAGCCUGAUCCAGCCAUGCCGCGUGAGUGAUGAAGGCCUUAGGGUUGUAAAGCUCUUUCAGUGGGGAAGAUAAUGACGGUACCCACAGAAGAAGCCCCGGCUAACUUCGUGCCAGCCGCCGCCGUAAAAC